ACUGUUUUGCAAGUCAAGGCAAAGAAUGAAUUGUGGGGGCUCAGCAGCAUUCACUGCUUCAGACAAUUUCACAAUCUGUACAGAAGGCAGCAUCAGGUGAGGAGCAGGUCAUAGCAAUAAAAAUGCAAUUUUUAUAAUGUCAAUUUGCUAAAAUUACUGCAUACAGCAUACAGAGCAGAGAUAACAGCUUUCUUUUCUUUCAUUUGCAUGCUGAGACGUACUUCAGACCAGAUUUCUGAGAAGAGAAGCUCCAGAUGAUGGCAAUACAGAAUCGCUGUUAUAUACUUCCGGUCAGAUGGCCCGGUCCUUGACAGGGUUGAAUGAUUCUCCUUUGGACAAAGGUGCUUCUAUGCUUCCCAUUUAUAUCAGCAAUGAUGCACUCAAUGAAGCAGUAGCAUGAGAAGUUCGUUCCCGAGGUCAGUUUUCGUCCUUUCAUGCUCUCCUGGCAGUUCUCGUGAAGAAGAACACGAUAAUCGCAUGGCCUGCAGCAGUAUCACGAGAAUCAAGCGGCGAGGGAUGGUUUCAGUCCUCCCAUGCCUCCUCACGCUUCUCGUGAAACUUGAAAGAAAAUGCAAAUACCACAUGACAGUUAAUAUCCUGCUCUGUGUAGUAGUCCCGUACUUUACCGGAUUUAGCUCAAUCUCCAUAGCUUGAGAAGUUCAAUGAAUAUAUAGUGCGGAACUUCCAUUUUAUAGCAUUUUAGUGAAAACCGUCUGUUUUCAUCGAACUUUAACUCAUUUGAUUUGCUGCUUUCUGCUUUGAUAUGGUCAUUAGUGUGCAUGAGUCAGGAUUUAGCAACAGAAAGACAAGCCAUAUAUCAUGACCGGAUGAAACUUAUCGCAUGAUCUGUUUUCGUGGGAAAGGCAACAAAGAUCCGG
rnacentral:lncRNA from 1 species